GGAUGAGGAAGGCUGAACCACUCCCGGCUCCUGGCCCCACGGCGCCGGGUUGGAAGAGGCGCAGCAAACCCCAGGGGCGACCCUUGUUGGAUUUGUGGCUGUACUGAAGGCUGCGGCAGUAUUUGGCGGCCGCCCGGCAGCUUUGGCCCCAACGCAGAGCUGCUUUGGAGGUGACGUUGGAGGUGACGUUGUGGCUGAGCUCGAAGGGAUCCGGGAGGGUGAGGGGGGUCCGUUUGAGGAGGGGGUCGGCGGCUGAGAGGGGCAGCGGGCGGCCGUGGCGGAGGGAGGGGAAAUGCGUCGUGAAGGGGAAGGAGCCGAAGAGGUGGAAGAAUUCGGGCAGGAGGGAACCUGCACUGCGCCCAUUGGUGCUGUGCUGCAGCGCCGCCGCAUCGCAGGGAAAGCUGCAGUCCCAGCCCGACUCCACCACACGGCAUCCCGGGCCCGCCAGCUCACGCAGCUCCUCCACUGUGGG
rnacentral:lncRNA from 1 species